CCAGGGUUACGGUUGUUUCAGGGUCAGGGCCCAGGGUUAGGGUUGUUUUAGGGUCAGGGCCCAGGGUUAGGGUUGUUUUAGGGUCAGGGCCCAGGGUUAGGGUUGUUUUAGGGUCAGGGCCAGGGCCCAGGGUUAGGGCUGUUUUAGGGUAAGGACCCAGGGUUAGGUUUGUUUUAGGGUCAGGGCCCAGGGUUAGGGAUGUUUUAGGGUCAGGGCCCAGGGUUAGGGUUGUUUUAGGGUCAGGGCCCAGGGUUAGGCUUGUUUCAGGGUCAGGGCCCAGGGUUAGGGUUGUUUUAGGGUCAGGGCCAGGGCCCUGGGUUAUGGUUGUUUUAGGGUAAGGGCCCAGGGUUAGGGUUGUUUUAGGGUCAGGGCGCAGGGUUAGGGUUGUUUUAGGGUCAGGGCCCAGGGUUAGGCUUGUUUUAGGCUCAGGGCCCACGGUUAGGGUUUUUGGGUCAGGGCCAGGGCCCAGGGUUAGGGUUUAAGGUCAGGGCCACGGCCCAGGGUUAUGGUUUUAGGCUCUUGGCCAGGGCCGAGGGUUAGGGUUUUAGGCUCAGGGCCAGGGUCCAGGGUUAGGGUUUUAGGCUCAGGGCCCAGGGUUAGGGUUUUAGGGUCAGGUCCCAGGGUUAGGGUUUUAGGGUCAGGCCCAGGGUUAGGGUGAUUUCAAGGAAGUGACCUCACAAUGUCUCAAGCUACCACUUACUGUUGAUUGUGAGGAAAUGCCAGCUGAGGCACAUGCCUUGGGAGCUAAGUGGUUGCUGCCCUUGACUACUAUGAAGACUGGUGUGGGAAGGGUCGCUUUGGAUGCACUUGAGCAGGGGUCCCCAACCCCUGAGCCAUGGAGCCGUAAGGAGCCACACAGCAGGUGGGACCAUCCAGUUUCAGGAAAACAAGCUUAACACGCCCACUGAUUCUACAUUAUGCUCCUACCUCCCGGCAGCCUCGCCAGGCCCAGAACUCUCUCCAGUCAGCCUCUACAGACCAAGCUCAUGACUCACAAUGGCCUAUUUAGGCCCAUACCCUACCUCACGGCAGUCUCCGCAGAUGAGCCUACUGCCUCACAACAGCCUCCACAGGCACAGCUCCAUCGUUACAAUGGCCUCUUUAGACCCAGCUCCUGCCUCCCAGCCUUCUCUCCAGGCCCUGAACUUUCUCCGUAAGUUGAGGUAGCUGGGACUGUAGGUAUACAUGACGAUACUUGGCUAAUUUUUAAAUUGUUUUGCAGACAUGGGGUCUCACUUUGUUGGCCAGGCUGGUGUCAAACUAAUGGCCUCAAGUGACCCUUCCACCCCUGCCUCCCAUCCUCGAGGUAUGUGCCACCACAAGGAGCACUUGUUCAAUUUUCUAAAGAAAAAAUUUCUAAAGUAAGGCUGUGGGAUGAUGGCAGGAAGAUAAAAGAAAAACAGAAGAAUAAGUUAAAAUGACUUAUUCACACAUAUUCUUUUGACAGCAAGAAGAACUUUUAGUAUAUACAUUCCUUACAAACAAACAAACGGUAGAUAAACAAUGUUGUAUAGGAACUUCAACACACACUGUACAAUAUUCCCACUUUGCUGACAUAAGUUAUGGAAAUUUCGUGGUUUCCUUGAGUGUCGCUACCAGUAUUUUGCUUCUCUGAUGAUUUUUAUGAACUUCCUCAUCUGUUAACUUCUCUCCAAAGUAUGUCAUGUCACGACAUACUGCCGCUGCACGAACACGGCCAGUGUCUUCCUAUUAAACAUGUAGAAUGCUUUCCUAA